rnacentral:rRNA from 1 species
CCUACGGGAGGCUGCAGUGGGGAAUAUUGGACAAUGGGCGAAAGCCUGAUCCAGCCAUGCCGCGUGUGUGAAGAAGGCCUUCGGGUUGUAAAGCACUUUCAGUGGGGAAGAAAGCCUUGGGUCUAAUACCCUCGAGGAAGGACAUCACCCACAGAAGAAGCACCGGCUAACUCCGUGCCAGCAGCCGCGGUAAUACGGAGGGUGCGAGCGUUAAUCGGAAUUACUGGGCGUAAAGCGCGCGUAGGCGGUCUGAUAAGCCGGUUGUGAAAGCCCCGGGCUCAACCUGGGAAACGGCAUCCGGAACUGUCAGGCUAGAGUGAAGGAGAGGAAGGUAGAAUUCCCGGGGUAGCGGUGAAAUGCGUAGAGAUCGGGAGGAAUACCAGUGGCGAAGGCGGCCUUCGGGACUGUAACUGACGCUGAGGUGCGAAAGCGUGGGUAGCAAACAGGAUUAGAUACCCGAGUGUC